AACUUAAUCCACACCUCUUCUUCAGGAAUUGCCCCAUCGUGAGUUGUGAGAAAUCCAUUCCUGUGGAAAGAUGAUGGAACAUGAACAUAUGGUCUGUGACUCUGCUAUGGACCUAGUGAAUCACUGUUGACUGUCCAUGGUUCAAGUGAGGAUUGGCAAACCUGGUCAUUUCUUGAUUACCUACAGAAUGCAAUUGCAACAUAUGCAAAAUCUUAUGCAGGAAUGGGGCUAUAGCAGUGAUGGGACACUACCUUUGACUGUGAAGAUCAGACGAUGCAAUUCCCGUUGGUCAGCCCCCCCCCCCCACCCCAAGGAGCCAUGCACUGCCAGAGAUCUUGAGCCAGGUCUUCAGUGGUUAUCCAUUGAUAAGAAGAACGGAGAUAAUAAAGACAGUGAGGUAUCUUGUUGAUUUCGACGUGACCAUCUUCCUAACGCUUCUUCCAAACAAUGAACUGGAGGCUCUUUCCACGAAUGAAUGUUUAGCUGCUUCAAGUGUGAUUCCAGCUUUUUCAAGAGCUUCUUGUUGUUCUACUUCUACUGGCCUUUAUUGUAGUUAACAUGUCCUGUGAAUGUUUUUAGGAGCCCAGUUUUGCUACAAACACAGUAAACCUCAAGUUCACAUAUAGUUAAAAAACGGUCUACUUGUAACAUUAUCUAGGAAAAAGUUCUACAAAUUGGACAUGGUGAAACUUUUCAUUCAUUAUGUUUUCAGUAUUUACUGAGGUACUCACUACAAAAGGAAGUUGGGGUCAAAAGGUCAAGUUUUUGUUCAACUUGGUCACAUUCCUUUAUUUCUGCAUCAAUUAUGUUCACACUACAUCUGAUCCUUGGGUAAUACAUGUACUUUCAUUAGGAUAAUGGGUCAAAGGCCUAAUGUUAAUAAUCAACUGCCUAAUGUUAAUAAUCAACUGAAAAUUACUUAGUCAGAAAAGGUGGUUUAUUGGAUUCCCUAUCUUUUGCUUAUAAUUAUUUUUUUUUUCAAAUUUAGUAUUUCUCCAUCAAAUCUGACAAAUUCAUUAUUUUUUUAUCAAUUAUUAAACGAUGUCAGUAAUAAGAGUUUUGAGAAACAUGUGCAAGUAUAUGUACCAAUAUCCAUGUGCAGAAUAUUUGCUGCAAGGUUAAAUGCUACAGUGAAAUUUUAAAGUGCGCAACCAUAGGAUACGGGAAAAGAGUUCUUGCAGCCUUUGAUGUACUUAUAAAGAUCAAGAUAGAAUUCACCCAAAACAUCUAUUAGGUGUUAGUAGCUGAAAAUAUCCUAGAUUAGUUCAGAACUAUUCAUCUGGAAGAAGAGACAAGUCAAAGCAUUUUAAACAAUUUCAAAACUUACCUGCGCUAUAUUUGUUUUUAAUUGAUAUGCAGUUAGAAUUGAUCAAAUUCUGAUUGCAAGCUGACAAAUUUAUUUAAAAGGAGGGUAUUAACAUGAAUGUAUUUCAAUACAAAUAAGACAUCUCUGGCAGUCUUGCCUGCAUUAUUAUGCAAUUCAAUAUGGUCAGAAGUUCGGUAUGGAAAUGGGUGGAUAAUGGAAAAAGUAUUUGUCGAGUUAAAUGCCAAUAAUUGAAUAAUAUUAAAUU
rnacentral:lncRNA from 1 species